rnacentral:rRNA from 1 species
UCAGCUUGUUGGUGGGGUAAUGGCCUACCAAGGCGACGACGGGUAGCCGGCCUGAGAGGGCGACCGGCCACACUGGGACUGAGACACGGCCCAGACUCCUACGGGAGGCAGCAGUGGGGAAUAUUGCACAAUGGGGGAAACCCUGAUGCAGCGACGCAGCGUGCGGGAUGACGGCCUUCGGGUUGUAAACCGCUUUCAGCAGGGAAGAAGCGAAAGUGACGGUACCUGCAGAAGAAGUACCGGCUAACUACGUGCCAGCAGCCGCGGUAAUACGUAGGGUACGAGCGUUGUCCGGAAUUAUUGGGCGUAAAGAGCUCGUAGGUGGUUGGUCACGUCUGCUGUGGAAACGCAACGCUUAACGUUGCGCGGGCAGUGGGUACGGGCUGACUAGAGUGCAGUAGGGGAGUCUGGAAUUCCUGGUGUAGCGGUGAAAUGCGCAGAUAUCAGGAGGAACACCGGUGGCGAAGGCGGGACUCUGGGCUGUAACUGACACUGAGGAGCGAAAGCAUGGGGAGCGAACAGGAUUAGAUACCCUGGUAGUCCAUGCCGUAAACGUUGGGCACUAGGUGUGGGGGACAUUCCACGUUCUCCG